AACCACUGAUGUUCAUACAAAACAACCACUGAUGUUCGAACUACUGAUGUUUCAUUCAAACGGGAGGGUAAUUGAAACCUCUGAUGUUUAUUCAAAAUUCAAAUCUCAUCAGAUUCAAAAUUCAAAAUCUUGGCUCCAGAUUUAAAAUUCAAACCAUAUCCAUAUAAGUUCUCUCUGCUCUCUCUUCGAUGAAGGAAUACGAAAUAUAAGUUCUCUCUACUCUCUCUCUUCGAUGAAGGAAUACGAAGCAUCAGAAGCUGCCAUAUGAGAGACUAAAUGAGAGAAACCCUGUGUUAUGUGUUAGAACAAUGCACGUUAAAGAAGAAACAAAACAACCAGAAUCAGACAUAUCAGACUUCUUAUUGACCAAAAUGUUCGAAUUUCUUUGCACAAAAGGAUUCUGUUUUGUAUAACUUUGUUUGGAUCUUACAUCUUAUGAGUUACGAGAGAUCGUUUGGUUUAGUUUGUGUUUGAUUUCUAAACGUCCAAACACAAAUUCAAAAAAUUACGCGGAGAAAUUGCGGGUGGUAAUCAACAAUCCGGAAGCCUAAAAGUCGACGAGUCUGACUUAUCAUUGAAAAAACUGGAUAAAUUUAAUGAUUAUCUGCAAGAACUUCAGAAAGAGAAGCAGCCAAUGAUUUUGUAGCAGCAUAUUUCAAAUCCAACCGUGUAUCUACUCACUAUCUCUCUCUCAAAUCCAACCAUGUUUCCACAGGCCUCCACCACCGACGCCGCAGAGCCUCCGGCCGCCGCUAUGAAUUCCGACAACAGGCUUUCGGUGAAGAAGAGAGAGGCUCCGAAGCAGAAGAAAGCGCCGGUGAAGAAAGCGAAGGAGGCGAAGGAUCCGAACAAAGUGAAACGGCCUGCGAGUGCGUUCUUCGUGUUCAUGUAUGUUGCGUUAAUCUACGUUUUCUGUUCGUGCUAUAUAUAAUUUUGUGUUGUUGUUACGAGUAGCUUCUGUUAGAUAAAGUUAACGAAUUUAAAGUAAUUAUAAACU